UACGAAGGGGGCUAGCGUUGCUCGGAAUGACUGGGCGUAAAGGGCGCGUAGGCGGAUGGCACAGUCAGAUGUGAAAUUCCCGGGCUUAACCUGGGGGGCUGCAUUUGAUACGUCUAGGCUUGAGUGAGGAAGAGGGUUGUGGAAUUCCCAGUGUAGAGGUGAAAUUCGUAGAUAUUGGGAAGAACACCGGUGGCGAAGGCGGCAACCUGGUCCUUUACUGACGCUGAGGCGCGAAAGCGUGGGGAGCAAACAGG
rnacentral:rRNA from 1 species